rnacentral:lncRNA from 1 species
CUGAAAAUUUUACUUACGGAUAUAAGAGACACUGUCUUUCAUUUAUAUAGAAGAAGAAAGAAAAUUCCGUACCUUGUUUUCCUUCAACUUUCAAAUGGGACAAAUUUUGUUCAUGUCCUGAUCCAAACCGAUAGUUUUGUCCAUGCGGCAUGUUUUUUCUCUAAACUCACCACCGUCGAAGGUUAUUUUGCCCCGAAUCGAAUCGCUGGCCUCGGUGGCAUCACGGCUGGAUCGAAGAAUAUCAUCUACCAAGGCGAGUUCAGGGAAUAAACGAGCCAUGUGCACAAAAAUACCACUUCGGGUUACACUGCUACAGAAAGGCUUAUCAGUAACGGUCGAAAAACAACAUCAGUAACGGUCGGGGCCGCGGUUACUAACUUCCUGCCAGUAAUGAUGGGUAUCAGGGCGACCGUUACUGAUUACCAUCAUCAGUGGCGGACGGACCGACCGUUACUGAUGAUACGCAUCAUCAGUGACGAUCACGUUUCCGCGCCCGCCACUGAUUAUUGGUACAUCAGUAACGGUCGCUUUGCCACAUCAAUGUCGGGCGAGCGACCGACACUGAUACAUUUUCAGUAAUUAAAAAAAUAAUUAAAACCACAAAAAAUACACAGAAAAAUAUAUAUAUUUGGCACAACAUAGCACAAAAAAUACACAUCCACAUCAUUUAAAGCAUACAAAUGUAUAUAAAGCCGCAUCAUUUAAAGCAUAUAAAGAAUACAAAUGUAUCUCACUUCACGACAUUGAUUACAAAGUGUCAAAAUUUCAUAGCAAAAUCAAGUUUGAAGCUAUUGUUGUGGGUGAACCUUAGUCACCACUUGUUCCACGCGUUCGUAGAAGUCCCCACUAAGCUUGAUGACCUCAUUGUUGAUGAGAUGGGCGAACUCCCUUUGAAUGUUAUACACGACCCAUUU